AGAGUUUGAUCAUGGCUCAGGACGAACGCUGGCGGCGUGCUUAACACAUGCAAGUCGAACGAUGAACCACUUCGGUGGGGAUUAGUGGCGAACGGGUGAGUAACACGUGGGCAAUCUGCCCUUCACUCUGGGACAAGCCCUGGAAACGGGGUCUAAUACCGGAUACAACACUCUCGGGCAUCCGAUGAGUGUGGAAAGCUCCGGCGGUGAAGGAUGAGCCCGCGGCCUAUCAGCUUGUUGGUGAGGUAACGGCUCACCAAGGCGACGACGGGUAGCCGGCCUGAGAGGGCGACCGGCCACACUGGGACUGAGACACGGCCCAGACUCCUACGGGAGGCAGCAGUGGGGAAUAUUGCACAAUGGGCGAAAGCCUGAUGCAGCGACGCCGCGUGAGGGAUGACGGCCUUCGGGUUGUAAACCUCUUUCAGCAGGGAAGAAGCGAAAGUGACGGUACCUGCAGAAGAAGCGCCGGCUAACUACGUGCCAGCAGCCGCGGUAAUACGUAGGGCGCGAGCGUUGUCCGGAAUUAUUGGGCGUAAAGAGCUCGUAGGCGGUCUGUCGCGUCGGAUGUGAAAGCCCGGGGCUUAACCCCGGGUCUGCAUUCGAUACGGGCAGACUAGAGUGUGGUAGGGGAGAUCGGAAUUCCUGGUGUAGCGGUGAAAUGCGCAGAUAUCAGGAGGAACACCGGUGGCGAAGGCGGAUCUCUGGGCCAUUACUGACGCUGAGGAGCGAAAGC
rnacentral:rRNA from 1 species